rnacentral:lncRNA from 1 species
AGAACUUUCAGGCUGCCUUCAGCAACAGCAAGAGCUCUGGAACAGAUACACUACUUGUAAGACUGACCAAGAGAGCGAGGCUGGCAUCCUGGCAGCACCUGGGACUUUGGCUUCAUUUCUUAAGCAGACCCUUGGUCCCUUGGAGAAGGUCAGCAGCAAGGAGCCUUCUCUGGCUGGCUUUUCUGUGCAGACACAAGGCAAGUGGCCAGCUACUGGUGUGAUGCCUACGUAGCACCAGACCAUUGAGAUGUGGCACAGGAUUCCUGAGGUGAUGGGCUGAAUCGCGAGAGUGGAGUGGUGCUGGAUGGUGAGAGGCUUUCUCUGCUUAUACAGCUAAUAGACUAAUGAGCAAGGAGUUUGAAACUUGGCUGUGUUUGUUGUCAAAUGCAGGCCCCUUUCCAAGUGGUGUUAACAGCCUUCCCUUUUCACUCUGCG